rnacentral:rRNA from 1 species
UACGGAAGGCAGCAGUGGGGAAUAUUGCACAAUGGGCGCAAGCCUGAUGCAGCCAUGCCGCGUGUAUGAAGAAGGGCCUUCGGGUUGUAAAGUACUUUCAGUCGUGAGGAAGGUGUUAAGGUUAAUAACCUUAGCAAUUGACGUUAGCGACAGAAGAAGCACCGGCUAACUCCGUGCCAGCAGCCGCGGUAAUACGGAGGGUGCGAGCGUUAAUCGGAAUUACUGGGCGUAAAGGGCACGCAGGCGGUUAAUUAAGUUGGAUGUGAAAUCCCCGGGCUUAACCUGGGAAUGGCAUUCAAGACUGGUUAGCUAGAGUCUUGUAGAGGGGGUAGAAUUCCAUGUGUAGCGGUGAAAUGCGUAGAGAUGUGGAGGAAUACCGGUGGCGAAGGCGGCCCCUGGGCAAAGGCUGACGCUCAUGUGCGAAAGCGUGGGGAGCAAACAGGAUUAGAUACC